rnacentral:rRNA from 1 species
CCUACGGGUGGCUGCAGUGAGGAAUAUUGGUCAAUGGGCGGGAGCCUGAACCAGCCAAGUCGCGUGAGGGAAGACGGUCCUAUGGAUUGUAAACCUCUUUAGUCGGGGAGCAAUGCCGGGCACGCGUGCCCGGCGGGAGAGUACCCGCAGACUAAGCAUCGGCUAACUCCGUGCCAGCAGCCGCGGUAAUACGGGGGAUGCGAGCGUUAUCCGGAUUGUUUGGGUUUAAAGGGUGCGUGGGCGGAGUUUUAAGUCAGCGGUAAAAUGUCCGGGCUCAACCCGGGCCGGCCGUUGAAACUGGGGGUCUGGAGUGGGCGAGAGGUAGGCGGAAUGCGUGGUGUAGCGGUGAAAUGCAUAGAUAUCACGCAGAACUCCGAUUGCGAAGGCAGCAUACCGGCGCCCGACUGACGCUGAGGCACGAAAGCGUGGGGAUCGAACAGGAUUAGAUACCCUGGUAGUC